GGGGCGGGCUGCUCGGCUCUCUCCGCCCCUUGGUCCCCCCUCCUCUCGUCCGCGCUCCUCUCUCGGAGGAAGGACAGUCCAAGCUGUAAGGUGAAGCUCACAACAGCCUGCACUGCUCACCGAAAAGCCGCUGUUUCUCAGAAGGUUGCCUUGCCAUGAGUGCUGUAUCCCAGAGCAUGCUGCAGUUGGGCCAGUGUUCUCCCUUGUGCCCCAAAGAAAGAGACACGCUCACUGGGGAAAUGGCGAGGUUCAUUCCGUGGUGGAGCUCUUAUUUUCUUCUCAAGCUGUUGGACCACAGCAGAAAGUUUCUGAACAUGGACAUGGAAAUAAGCAUUACCUUCAUGCUUCCUUUUGUUCUCCAUCAGAGGGGCAGCUCUGCAGGGAAACAAAGGGCCACAUGCGAUAAGAUUAUUUAUCUAAACCUCAAAAUAGGCCUCAGACAGAGACCAUAUGGUCUGAGGUAUGAAAAAAGUUGCUGACCCCUCCUCUAGAUCUUCAACGAUGAGCUCUUCUGAAAGGAAAAGAAGAGAAGGCUAGCAGUUAGAGAGACUUUCUUAUAUACACUGAACAUAUACAUGGAAAUAGACAUUACCUUCAUCUUU